rnacentral:rRNA from 1 species
AGUGAACGCUGGCGGUAGGCCUAACACAUGCAAGUCGAACGGCAGCACAGUAAGAGCUUGCUCUUACGGGUGGCGAGUGGCGGACGGGUGAGGAAUACAUCGGAAUCUACUUUUUCGUGGGGGAUAACGUAGGGAAACUUACGCUAAUACCGCAUACGACCUACGGGUGAAAGCAGGGGAUCUUCGGACCUUGCGCGAUUGAAUGAGCCGAUGUCGGAUUAGCUAGUUGGCGGGGUAAAGGCCCACCAAGGCGACGAUCCGUAGCUGGUCUGAGAGGAUGAUCAGCCACACUGGAACUGAGACACGGUCCAGACUCCUACGGGAGGCAGCAGUGGGGAAUAUUGGGCAAUGGGCGCAAGCCUGCUCCAGCCAUACCGCGUGGGUGAAGAAGGCCUUCGGGUUGUAAAGCCCUUUUGUUGGGAAAGAAAAGCAGCAGGUUAAUACCCCGCUGUUCUGACGGUACCCAAAGAAUAAGCACCGGCUAACUUCGUG